rnacentral:rRNA from 1 species
UGCACACAGGUGCUGCAUGGCUGUCGUCAGCUCGUGUCGUGAGAUGUUGGGUUAAGUCCCGCAACGAGCGCAACAAAAAAACAUUAGUUGCUACAUUCAGUUGAGCACUCUAAUGGGACUGCCGGUGACAAACCGGAGGAAGGUGGGGAUGACGUCAAGUCCUCAUGGCCCUUAUAGGUGGGGCUGCACACGUCAUACAAUGGCUGGUACAAAGGGUUGCCAACCCGCGAGGGGAAGCUAAUCCCAUAAAGCCAGUCGUAGUCCGGAUCGCAGUCUGCA